rnacentral:rRNA from 1 species
AGCGGCGGACGGGUGAGUAACGCGUGGGUAACCUGCCUCAUACAGGGGGAUAACAGUUGGAAACGGCUGCUAAUACCGCAUAAGCGCACAGUACCGCAUGGCACGGUGUGAAAAACUCCGGUGGUAUGAGAUGGACCCGCGUCUGAUUAGGUAGUUGGUGGGGUAACGGCCUACCAAGCCGACGAUCAGUAGCCGACCUGAGAGGGUGACCGGCCACAUUGGGACUGAGACACGGCCCAA